GACCUCGGAUCAGGUAGGGAUACCCGCUGAACUUAAGCAUAUCAAUAAGCGGAGGAAAAGAAACCAACAGGGAUUGCCUCAGUAACGGCGAGUGACGG
rnacentral:rRNA from 1 species